rnacentral:rRNA from 1 species
GACGAACCGUGCAAACGUUGUUCGGAAUCACUGGGCUUAAAGGGCGCGUAGGCGGGUCAGCAAGUCCGGGGUGAAAUCUUUCGGCUUAACCGGAAAAGUGCCUUGGAUACUGCUGAUCUUGAGGGAGGUAGGGGCAGCUGGAACUUCCGGUGGAGCGGUGAAAUGUGUUGAUAUCGGAAGGAACUCCUGUGGCGAAAGCGAGCUGCUGGACCUCUUCUGACGCUGAGGCGCGAAAGCUAGGGGAGCAAACGGG